rnacentral:rRNA from 1 species
CUUACCAAGGCAACGAUGCAUAGCCGACCUGAGAGGGUGAUCGGCCACACUGGAACUGAGACACGGUCCAGACUCCUACGGGAGGCAGCAGUAGGGAAUCUUCCGCAAUGGGCGAAAGCCUGACGGAGCAACGCCGCGUGAGUGAUGAAGGUCUUCGGAUCGUAAAACUCUGUUAUUAGGGAAGAACAUAUGUGUAAGUAACUGUGCACAUCUUGACGGUACCUAAUCAGAAAGCCACGGCUAACUACGUGCCAGCAGCCGCGGUAAUACGUAGGUGGCAAGCGUUAUCCGGAAUUAUUGGGCGUAAAGCGCGCGUAGGCGGUUUUUUAAGUCUGAUGUGAAAGCCCACGGCUCAACCGUGGAGGGUCAUUGGAAACUGGAAAACUUGAGU